GCCAAAGUAGUGGAAUAGGUAAACACGUUGUCUUUAGGCGGCAAAAUAUAGGGGUUCAAGUCCCCUCUUUGGCA
rnacentral:tRNA from 1 species